rnacentral:rRNA from 1 species
UACAGAGGUCCCAAGCGUUGUUCGGAUUCACUGGGCGUAAAGGGUGCGUAGGUGGUGAGGUAAGUCGGAUGUGAAAUCUCCGGGCUCAACCCGGAAAUGGCAUUGGAAACUACCUUGCUUGAGGAUUUGAGGGGGGAUUGGAAUACUUGGUGUAGCAGUGAAAUGCGUAGAUAUCAAGUGGAACACCAGUGGCGAAGGCGAAUCCCUGGAAAAUACCUGACACUGAGGCACGAAAGCUAGGGGAGCAAAUGGG